GGAGAAAACCCGGUUCUAAUAUUCCACAUGAACAGUCGCUUUACAAAGCCUGUCUUAUUUACCCAGUAGUGGGAGUGAUUGAAAUAGGUUCCUUAAUUCACUUUUAACGUGAAAUUAAAAUAUUUUUGAAAUCAGUCAAAGGAGACCCGAGAAAAAAAACCGAUUCAAAUGUUCUCCUCAGAUAGUCACUUAACAAAGUCUUUGGCAUUUGCCCAGUAGUGGGAGUGGUCAAAGUAGGUUCUUUACUUCACUCUUAACAUGAAAUCAAAAUAUUUUUGAAAUCAGUCCUUGGGGUCCGGAGAAAACCCGGUUCUAAUAUUCCACAUGAACAGUCGCUUUACAAAGCCUGACUUAUUUGCCCAGGAGUGGGAGUGAUUGAAGUAGGUUCCUUACUUCACUUUUAACAUGAAAUUAAAAUAUUUUUGAAAUCGGUCAAAGGAGACCCGAGAAAAAAACCGAUUCAAAUGUUCUCCUCAGAUAGUCACUUAACAAAGUCUUUGGCAUUUGCCCAGUACUGGGAGUGGUCAAAGUAGGUUCUUUACUUCACUCUUAACAUGAAAUCCAAAUAUUUUUGAAAUCGGUCCCUGGGGUCCGGAGAAAAACCGGUUCUAAUAUUCCACAUGAACAGUCGCUUUACAAAGCCUGUCUUAUUUACCCAGUAGUGGGAGUGAUUGGAAUAGGUUCUUUACUUCACUUUAACAUGAAAUUAAAAUAUUUUUGAAAUCUGUCCCAGGGGUCCCGAGGAAAACCGGUUUAAAUGUUCCACAUGAACAGUCUGUUUACAAAGCCUAUGCCAUUUGCCCAGUAGUGGGAGUGGUUGGAAUAGGUUCUUUAAUUCACUCUUAACAAGAAAUCAAAAUAUUUUUGAAAUCGGUCCUAGGGUCCUGAGAAAUUAAUCUGAUAAGACUUUUCUGCCAAAUAAGUCUUACUCAUAUGUACGUAUAUAGUCAAUCUCAAUGCUCAGGAUCUCGCUGUCAGGAUUCAGUACUGGAAAAUGUUGGAAUGGGUUAUUUUUUUUACUGUGAUUUUCAAAUAAAUUCUAAAAGCGUUGGAUUCUAAUAAGAACUGGGAAUGAUUUUAUGAAAAAAAGGCAAUUACCGCAAUAUUUUUGAAUUUACGGUUUAAAUCUACAAGGCGCCUGCGCUAUGACCUAUCUUCUAGAAAAAUCUUAUCAAGACGAAUAAAAUAAGCUCGAACACGAGGUAGUUAGUAGAUAUCGUUGAGGAGUUCCCACGUCUCUCUCUCGGCUCCAUUGUCAGGUCAGAUUUUAAAACCUUUACAGUUUUGUGGUGUCUGAGACAUAUACCCGAAUAACAAGGUUUUACUCGAUAUGUGUCUACAAUUUUCGAGAGUCGCUUCCGAUUUUUUUAGAAAUUCCAUCACCAGACCCUGGGCCGGAUGACAAAGGAACCAUUGAGGAAGUAAGCCCUUUCAAACAAUUAAAUAAUUGUUGAAAUCGGUUGGUAAACGACGGAGUUAUGCACGUACAAACAUAAAAAAAAUGCAAAUGAAUUAAGAACCUCCUCCAUUUUUGGAAGUCGGUAAAAAAAAAAGUUGUCGUGUACAAUACCUCGUAUUUGUCAAUGAAUAUAAUUCAUUUCAAUUAAGGUAAUAAAAGUGGAAUAGUUAAGAGUUCGUAAGCUUAUUUUAUGUAAUAUUGAAUAAGAGUCAAACCAGUUUUUCUCAGGACUCCCGGGAUAGAUUUCGAAAUGCUUUGGUCUGGGACCUAAUAUAAGCCUAUGGAACCUAAUACACUAUGCAGUUACUGUG